CAGUAGCCGCGGUAAUACGAAGGGGGCUAGCGUUGUUCGGAAUUACUGGGCGUAAAGCGCACGUAGGCGGAUAUUUAAGUCAGGGGUGAAAUCCCGCAGCUCAACUGCGGAACUGCCUUUGAUACUGGGUAUCUUGAGUAUGGAAGAGGUUAGUGGAAUUGCGAGUGUAGAGGUGAAAUUCGUAGAUAUUCGCAGGAACACUAGUGGCGAAGGCGGCUAACUGGUCCAUAACUGACGCUGAGGUGCGAAAGCGUGGGGAGCAAACAGGAUUAGAUACCCGCGUAGUCCCUGUCUCUUAUAC
rnacentral:rRNA from 1 species